rnacentral:rRNA from 1 species
GACGAACGCUGGCGGUGUGCUUAACACAUGCAAGUCGAACGGUAAGGCCCUUUCGGGGGUACACGAGUGGCGAACGGGUGAGUAACACGUGAGUAACCUGCCCUCAUCUCUGGGAUAACAGUCGGAAACGGUUGCUAAUACUGGAUAUGAGCUUGCAAGGCAUCUUGUGGUUUGGAAAGAUUUUUUUUGGUUGGGGAUGGACUCGCGGCCUAUCAGCUUGUUGGUGAGGUAGUGGCUCACCAAGGCUUCGACGGGUAGCCGGCCUGAGAGGGCGACCGGCCACAUUGGGACUGAGAUACGGCCCAAACUCCUACGGGAGGCAGCAGUGGGGAAUAUUGCACAAUGGACGGAAGUCUGAUGCAGCAACGCCGCGUGCGGGAUGACGGCCUUCGGGUUGUAAACCGCUUUCAAUUGUGACGAAGCUUUUUUGUGACGGUAGCAGUAGAAGAAGCACCGGCUAACUACGUG